UUAUGGGAUGUUGUGGUUUAGACUUAAGAUUGUGGACCAAUUAGCUAUAUUCCUCUAUUAUUGGACCCAAUUAGAACUAAGUGUUCUUUUAGUUGUGAUUGGUGGCUUUUGGACCACAUAUACCCACUUACCUUCUCUCUCUAUCUCCCUCUCGGCAUUUUCGUAAGGACAACCCAGAAACCACCUCAAAUCUUGAAGAUCGAAACCAAUGUAAGUAUCUUCGUGUUCCUUGUGACCUUAGGAAUCCAUUGGUACAGGUUUUAGAACCUGAAACCUUUGAAAACCCCGUGAAACCUAACCUUUAAUUUGUGCACUGUUCAUGCGCACGUAAAACCUUGUGUUUCAAGGAAUUUUAAGCUCAUAGAGAGCUUUUGGAGGUCCCAAAGAGGCUCGGGGUAGUUCGUUUGAAGAAUUUGGACGUCGGGAAGCCUAGAUACGAAGAGUUGCAGAGGUCACGGGAUUUUCGAGCUUGCUCCAAUGUGAUUUCAUGAGAUUUGAAGCUUCAAAUAGGUAUAACGCCAUUCUUCUCACUUUAAGCUUUCAUUUGGUUCAAAUUUCGAAGAAAAUGGUUGAAAAAUGAGUGAGAAUAG
rnacentral:lncRNA from 1 species